rnacentral:rRNA from 1 species
UGGGGAAUUUUGGACAAUGGGCGCAAGCCUGAUCCAGCCAUGCCGCGUGAGUGAAGAAGGCCUUCGGGUUGUAAAGCUCUUUCGGCGGGGAAGAAAUGGCAACGGCUAAUAUCCGUUGUUGAUGACGGUACCCGCAUAAGAAGCACCGGCUAACUACGUGCCAGCAGCCGCGGUAAUACGUAGGGUGCGAGCGUUAAUCGGAAUUACUGGGCGUAAAGCGUGCGCAGGCGGUUAUGUAAGACAGAUGUGAAAUCCCCGGGCUCAACCUGGGAACUGCGUUUGUGACUGCAUAACUAGAGUACGGCAGAGGGAGGUGGAAUUCCGCGUGUAGCAGUGAAAUGCUUAGAUAUGUCAUAGAACACCGAUAGCGAAGGCAGCUCACUAGGUCUGGAUUGACGCUCAGGGACGAAAGCGUGGGGAGCAAACA